UUUUGAGCAAAUUGGACAGGAAAUAUGCACAUAUCCCACUGAGAUAGUACUCAUCAGCAUCCACCUGUGAGCACUGAGGGAAAUUCAUGCUGGGCAGUAACUGAAGAACAGUAUCGGCAGAAAAACAGCAGAAUGAGCAGGUUCAAUGUGCUACAGUAGAGCUCCAAAUGUGGUAAAGAUUAAUGAGUGCCUUAUGCAGCCCAGUAAUAACCCUUAUCAUUAGUGCACACCACCCCAGACUAGAGGUGAAAGUAGAUGUGUCAACAAGUUCAGGAUGUGACUCAAGAUUAUGCAACAAACUUGAGGAAGGAAGGAUCUGCUGAAUCAGUGCAAUGAGUCCAACAGCCUAAAUUAGGGCAAAUAGAGGAGGGAAUCUUGGUUGGAUAAAUGCAGCAUAAGGAAUACCCCACAGUCAUAUCUUGUAUAAAUUCUCCUGCCAAAUUGUGUCAUUUUCUGCCUUGCUGCUGCCUCAAUCUUUGCGACUGUCACUACCUUAGGGGUCCAUGCCCAAUGUCAGGCCAGCUUUUGUUCACAUUAACAACUUACCCUCUUCAAGGUUUACUGAUUUGCCCCACUGGACUGAACUGCUUCAGCCUGUAGCUUUAUAUCAAGCUGUAAUCUUCUGUAAUCAAAGUUUUUGACCCUUUCCAACCCAAAUAAACUGGUGUCCUUGAA